UAUAAACACAUUAACCUAAUGAUAUAGUGACAAAAGGUAAACAUAAAAGAAAAAAUCCUAUUGGCCAAUACACCUUUCACAUAGAUCACCAUUCCAGCCGUUAGAUUGAAUUUCAAUCAAUGGACAAGAAUUUUUCUUUUCUAUUUUCUUAUUUUUCCUUCUCUCUUCAGAUCUACGAAUGAUCUCUUAAUUAUGUUCUCCAUCUUCUACAGCUCUCUCUCUCUCUCUUUAAUCUUCUGUUCUUUUCUCUUCAUGUUUUAAGAUAUCAUCUCCUUCCUCUAUGUUCUCCUCUGUUCUUCAUCAUCUUCCGCUCACUACUUUCUUCAUAGUUACCACUUCUGUCGCUGUCGUGAAGGAAGAACCGCUGCUGUCUCCGUCAUUUAAGAACAAACGCCUCUGUGCUUGAGGAAGCAUCGGCUCGUAGCAGUGGAGGCAACCGACCUUCUUCUUCAGAUUUAGUCCAUCUUCCUCGCCGUCACGUUUUGCUCUCUGUCCAAGACUCACCGGAGAUGAAGAUUCGUACCACUCUAGCUUCUCACCUCUCUAACUCGACGGUGGUGGGAUUUGAGAGAAGCGGAUCUGGAAGGUAGAUGCGACGGCUGGAAGUAGAAGCAUCGAUGGUGGCUAAAGCGUCGAAGGUGAAGCAUCGAUGGUGGCUGAAGCGUUGAGAGUACGGUGGAGAAAGACGACUGGAGGAGGACGACGGCGGCGGCUUAGAUUUAGGGUUUUCUUGUAUUUUGUUUGUAUUUAUGUUUAUAUAUUUACAUAUUUGUUUUAAACAAAAAAAACAUAUUUGUUUUUAUUAAUUAUAUCAAAUUGUUUUUUUGUUUAACCGUUGGAAAUGACACAUUUUCCUGUAGUGUACCAGAUUCAAUAUAUAUAUUUAUUUGUAUUUUCUA